rnacentral:rRNA from 3 species
UUAAGCGACUAAGCGUACACGGUGGAUGCCCUGGCAGUCAGAGGCGAUGAAGGACGUGCUAAUCUGCGAAAAGCGUCGGUAAGGUGAUAUGAACCGUUAUAACCGGCGAUGUCCGAAUGGGGAAACCCAGUGUGAUUCGUCACACUAUCGUUAACUGAAUACAUAGGUUAACGAGGCGAACCGGGGGAACUGAAACAUCUAAGUACCCCGAGGAAAAGAAAUCAACCGAGAUUCCCCCAGUAGCGGCGAGCGAACGGGGAGCAGCCCAGAGUCUGAAUCAGCUUGUGUGUUAGUGGAACGGUCUGGAAAGUCCGACGGUACAGGGUGAUAGUCCCGUACACCAAAAUGCACAGGCUGUGAACUCGAAGAGUAGGGCGGGACACGUGGUAUCCUGUCUGAAUAUGGGGGGACCAUCCUCCAAGGCUAAAUACUCCUGACUGACCGAUAGUGAACCAGUACCGUGAGGGAAAGGCGAAAAGAACCCCGGCGAGGGGAGUGAAAAAGAACCUGAAACCGUGUACGUACAAGCAGUGGGAGCACCUUCGGGUGUGACUGCGUACCUUUUGUAUAAUGGGUCAGCGACUUAUAUUCUGUAGCAAGGUUAACCGUAUAGGGGAGCCGCAGGGAAACCGAGUCUUAACUGGGCGUUAAGUUGCAGGGUAUAGACCCGAAACCCGGUGAUCUAGCCAUGGGCAGGUUGAAGGUUGGGUAACACUAACUGGAGGACCGAACCGACUAAUGUUGAAAAAUUAGCGGAUGACUUGUGGCUGGGGGUGAAAGGCCAAUCAAACCGGGAGAUAGCUGGUUCUCCCCGAAAGCUAUUUAGGUAGCGCCUCGUGAACUCAUCUUCGGGGGUAGAGCACUGUUUCGGCUAGGGGGUCAUCCCGACUUACCAACCCGAUGCAAACUACGAAUACCGAAGAAUGUUAUCACGGGAGACACACGGCGGGUGCUAACGUCCGUCGUGAAGAGGGAAACAACCCAGACCGCCAGCUAAGGUCCCAAAGUCAUGGUUAAGUGGGAAACGAUGUGGGAAGGCACAGACAGCCAGGAUGUUGGCUUAGAAGCAGCCAUCAUUUAAAGAAAGCGUAAUAGCUCACUGGUCGAGUCGGCCUGCGCGGAAGAUGUAACGGGGCUAAACCAUGCACCGAAGCUGCGGCAGCGACACUAUGUGUUGUUGGGUAGGGGAGCGUUCUGUAAGCCUGCGAAGGUGACCUGUGAGGGUUGCUGGAGGUAUCAGAAGUGCGAAUGCUGACAUAAGUAACGAUAAAGCGGGUGAAAAGCCCGCUCGCCGGAAGACCAAGGGUUCCUGUCCAACGUUAAUCGGGGCAGGGUGAGUCGACCCCUAAGGCGAGGCCGAAAGGCGUAGUCGAUGGGAAACAGGUUAAUAUUCCUGUACUUGGUGUUACUGCGAAGGGGGGACGGAGAAGGCUAUGUUAGCCGGGCGACGGUUGUCCCGGUUUAAGCAUGUAGGCUGGUUGUCCAGGCAAAUCCGGAUAAUCAAGGCUGAGGUGUGAUGACGAGGCACUACGGUGCUGAAGUAACAAAUGCCCUGCUUCCAGGAAAAGCCUCUAAGCAUCAGGUAACAUCAAAUCGUACCCCAAACCGACACAGGUGGUCAGGUAGAGAAUACCAAGGCGCUUGAGAGAACUCGGGUGAAGGAACUAGGCAAAAUGGUGCCGUAACUUCGGGAGAAGGCACGCUGGUGUGUAGGUGAAGCCCCUGCGGGUGGAGCUGAGACCAGUCGAAGAUACCAGCUGGCUGCAACUGUUUAUUAAAAACACAGCACUGUGCAAACACGAAAGUGGACGUAUACGGUGUGACGCCUGCCCGGUGCCGGAAGGUUAAUUGAUGGGGUUAUCCGUAAGGAGAAGCUCUUGAUCGAAGCCCCGGUAAACGGCGGCCGUAACUAUAACGGUCCUAAGGUAGCGAAAUUCCUUGUCGGGUAAGUUCCGACCUGCACGAAUGGCGUAAUGAUGGCCAGGCUGUCUCCACCCGAGACUCAGUGAAAUUGAACUCGCUGUGAAGAUGCAGUGUACCCGCGGCAAGACGGAAAGACCCCGUGAACCUUUACUAUAGCUUGACACUGAACAUUGAGCCUUGAUGUGUAGGAUAGGUGGGAGGCUUUGAAGCGUGGACGCCAGUCUGCGUGGAGCCAACCUUGAAAUACCACCCUUUAAUGUUUGAUGUUCUAACGUUGGCCCCUGACCGGGGUUGCGGACAGUGUCUGGUGGGUAGUUUGACUGGGGCGGUCUCCUCCCAAAGCGUAACGGAGGAGCACGAAGGUUAGCUAAUCCUGGUCGGACAUCAGGAGGUUAGUGCAAUGGCAUAAGCUAGCUUGACUGCGAGCGUGACGGCGCGAGCAGGUGCGAAAGCAGGUCAUAGUGAUCCGGUGGUUCUGAAUGGAAGGGCCAUCGCUCAACGGAUAAAAGGUACUCCGGGGAUAACAGGCUGAUACCGCCCAAGAGUUCAUAUCGACGGCGGUGUUUGGCACCUCGAUGUCGGCUCAUCACAUCCUGGGGCUGAAGUAGGUCCCAAGGGUAUGGCUGUUCGCCAUUUAAAGUGGUACGCGAGCUGGGUUUAGAACGUCGUGAGACAGUUCGGUCCCUAUCUGCCGUGGGCGCUGGAGAAUUGAGGGGGGCUGCUCCUAGUACGAGAGGACCGGAGUGGACGCAUCACUGGUGUUCGGGUUGUCAUGCCAAUGGCACUGCCCGGUAGCUAAAUGCGGAAGAGAUAAGUGCUGAAAGCAUCUAAGCACGAAACUUGCCCCGAGAUGAGUUCUCCCUGAGACUUUAAGUCUCCUGAAGGAACGUUGAAGACGACGACGUUGAUAGGCCGGGUGUGUAAGCGCAGCGAUGCGUUGAGCUAACCGGUACUAAUGAACCGUGAGGCUUAACCUU